UAAGCGACUAAGCGUACACGGUGGAUGCCCUGGCAGUCAGAGGCGAUGAAGGACGUGCUAAUCUGCGAUAAGCGUCGGUGAGGUGAUAUGAACCGUUAUAACCGGCGAUUUCCGAAUGGGGAAACCCAGUGUGAUUCGUCACACUAUCAUUAACUGAAUCCAUAGGUUAAUGAGGCGAACCGGGGGAACUGAAACAUCUAAGUACCCCGAGGAAAAGAAAUCAACCGAGAUUCCCCCAGUAGCGGCGAGCGAACGGGGAGGAGCCCAGAGCCUGAAUCAGUGUGUGUGUUAGUGGAAGCGUCUGGAAAGGCGUGCGAUACAGGGUGACAGCCCCGUACACAAAAAUGCACAUAUUGUGAGCUCGAUGAGUAGGGCGGGACACGUGGUAUCCUGUCUGAAUAUGGGGGGACCAUCCUCCAAGGCUAAAUACUCCUGACUGACCGAUAGUGAACCAGUACCGUGAGGGAAAGGCGAAAAGAACCCCGGCGAGGGGAGUGAAAAAGAACCUGAAACCGUGUACGUACAAGCAGUGGGAGCCUCUUAAUGGGGUGACUGCGUACCUUUUGUAUAAUGGGUCAGCGACUUAUAUUCUGUAGCAAGGUUAACCGAAUAGGGGAGCCGAAGGGAAACCGAGUCUUAACUGGGCGUUAAGUUGCAGGGUAUAGACCCGAAACCCGGUGAUCUAGCCAUGGGCAGGUUGAAGGUUGGGUAACACUAACUGGAGGACCGAACCGACUAAUGUUGAAAAAUUAGCGGAUGACUUGUGGCUGGGGGUGAAAGGCCAAUCAAACCGGGAGAUAGCUGGUUCUCCCCGAAAGCUAUUUAGGUAGCGCCUCGUGAAUUCAUCUCCGGGGGUAGAGCACUGUUUCGGCAAGGGGGUCAUCCCGACUUACCAACCCGAUGCAAACUGCGAAUACCGGAGAAUGUUAUCACGGGAGACACACGGCGGGUGCUAACGUCCGUCGUGAAGAGGGAAACAACCCAGACCGCCAGCUAAGGUCCCAAAGUCAUGGUUAAGUGGGAAACGAUGUGGGAAGGCCCAGACAGCCAGGAUGUUGGCUUAGAAGCAGCCAUCAUUUAAAGAAAGCGUAAUAGCUCACUGGUCGAGUCGGCCUGCGCGGAAGAUGUAACGGGGCUAAACCAUGCACCGAAGCUGCGGCAGCGACACUAUGUGUUGUUGGGUAGGGGAGCGUUCUGUAAGCCUGUGAAGGUGGCCUGUGAGGGUUGCUGGAGGUAUCAGAAGUGCGAAUGCUGACAUAAGUAACGAUAAAGCGGGUGAAAAGCCCGCUCGCCGGAAGACCAAGGGUUCCUGUCCAACGUUAAUCGGGGCAGGGUGAGUCGACCCCUAAGGCGAGGCCGAAAGGCGUAGUCGAUGGGAAACAGGUUAAUAUUCCUGUACUUGGUGUUACUGCGAAGGGGGGACGGAGAAGGCUAUGUUGGCCGGGCGACGGUUGUCCCGGUUUAAGCGUGUAGGCUGGUUUUCCAGGCAAAUCCGGAAAAUCAAGGCUGAGGCGUGAUGACGAGGCACUACGGUGCUGAAGUGACAAAUGCCCUGCUUCCAGGAAAAGCCUCUAAGCAUCAGGUAACAUCAAAUCGUACCCCAAACCGACACAGGUGGUCAGGUAGAGAAUACCAAGGCGCUUGAGAGAACUCGGGUGAAGGAACUAGGCAAAAUGGUGCCGUAACUUCGGGAGAAGGCACGCUGAUAUGUAGGUGAAGCGACUUGCUCGUGGAGCUGAAAUCAGUCGAAGAUACCAGCUGGCUGCAACUGUUUAUUAAAAACACAGCACUGUGCAAACACGAAAGUGGACGUAUACGGUGUGACGCCUGCCCGGUGCCGGAAGGUUAAUUGAUGGGGUUAGCGGUAACGCGAAGCUCUUGAUCGAAGCCCCGGUAAACGGCGGCCGUAACUAUAACGGUCCUAAGGUAGCGAAAUUCCUUGUCGGGUAAGUUCCGACCUGCACGAAUGGCGUAAUGAUGGCCAGGCUGUCUCCACCCGAGACUCAGUGAAAUUGAACUCGCUGUGAAGAUGCAGUGUACCCGCGGCAAGACGGAAAGACCCCGUGAACCUUUACUAUAGCUUGACACUGAACAUUGAGCCUUGAUGUGUAGGAUAGGUGGGAGGCUUUGAAGUGUGGACGCCAGUCUGCAUGGAGCCGGCCUUGAAAUACCACCCUUUAAUGUUUGAUGUUCUAACGUUGGCCCGUAAUCCGGGUUGCGGACAGUGUCUGGUGGGUAGUUUGACUGGGGCGGUCUCCUCCUAAAGAGUAACGGAGGAGCACGAAGGUUGGCUAAUCCUGGUCGGACAUCAGGAGGUUAGUGCAAUGGCAUAAGCCAGCUUGACUGCGAGCGUGACGGCGCGAGCAGGUGCGAAAGCAGGUCAUAGUGAUCCGGUGGUUCUGAAUGGAAGGGCCAUCGCUCAACGGAUAAAAGGUACUCCGGGGAUAACAGGCUGAUACCGCCCAAGAGUUCAUAUCGACGGCGGUGUUUGGCACCUCGAUGUCGGCUCAUCACAUCCUGGGGCUGAAGUAGGUCCCAAGGGUAUGGCUGUUCGCCAUUUAAAGUGGUACGCGAGCUGGGUUUAGAACGUCGUGAGACAGUUCGGUCCCUAUCUGCCGUGGGCGCUGGAGAACUGAGGGGGGCUGCUCCUAGUACGAGAGGACCGGAGUGGACGCAUCACUGGUGUUCGGGUUGUCAUGCCAAUGGCACUGCCCGGUAGCUAAAUGCGGAAGAGAUAAGUGCUGAAAGCAUCUAAGCACGAAACUUGCCCCGAGAUGAGUUCUCCCUGACCCUUUAAGGGUCCUGAAGGAACGUUGAAGACGACGACGUUGAUAGGCCGGGUGUGUAAGCGCAGCGAUGCGUUGAGCUAACCGGUACUAAUGAACCGUGAGGCUUAACCU
rnacentral:rRNA from 1 species